UCCUCCUUAGCUCAGUUGGUUAGAGCAUCUGACUGUUAAUCAGAGGGUCCAAGGUUCGAGUCCUUGAGGGGGAGC
rnacentral:tRNA from 2 species